GACGAACGCUGGCGGCGUGCCUAAUACAUGCAAGUCGAACGCAGUGGGGACGGGUGAGUAACACGUGGGUAACCUCCCAUCAGAGGGGAUAACACUUGGAAACAGGUGCUAAACCGAUACUGAUGGAUGGACCCGGUGGGGAUUAGCUAGUUGGUGGGGUAACGGCUCACCUAGGCCACGAUGCAUAGCGGGCCUGAGAGGGUGACCGGCCACACUGGGACUGAGACACGGCCCAGACUCCUACGGGAGGCAUCAGUGGGGAAUAUUCGGCAAUGGGCGAAAGUCUGACCGAGCAACGCCGCGUGGGUGAAGAAGGUUUUCGGGUCGUAAAAUUCUGUUGGUGGGGAAGCGGUAUCUAAACAAAAAGCAACGGCUAACUACGUGCCAGCAGCCGCGGUAAUAC
rnacentral:rRNA from 1 species